rnacentral:lncRNA from 1 species
AAUUCCUGUCUGGUAAAGGUUUUGAUAUUCGAUACGGUUUAUAUUAAGUGCGCCCAAUAUUUAUAAAAUGAUAUAACUAGCACAAAUCCAAGGUCAUUUCCGCUCUGAUAAAACUUGUGCAUGUCCCGUUUUGUUUAUGUGUGUUCCUUGCUCCUUAAUGAGAAAUUGGUGAGCGGAAAGAAUGAUAAAAUAGUUUAUUCAAUAGUUUGAAAAGCCAAGGAACUGCCAACGAUGUCAUUUAUUGUUAUCAGUUAACUGGACUUUGUGAGAGUUUUCUUGCAAAAUGUUUGCCAAGGUGGCGAUCGAAGGUGGACAGCAAGAUCGAAGCUCAGCAAGAUUGAAGAUUGUUCGAGGAAGAAGGAGUUCGCCGUUGACUAAAAGGUUUAUCUGAACAGCUAGUUGUCAAGAUGAAUGUGAAGACUCGCCCGGCCAAAUUCAAAAUGGCGAUGCCAAA